rnacentral:rRNA from 1 species
AUUGAACGCUGGCGGCAUGCCUAACACAUGCAAGUCGAACGGCAGCGCGGGGGCAACCCUGGCGGCGAGUGGCGGACGGGUGAGGAACACAUAGGAAUCUACCCUGUCGUGGGGGAUAACGGAGGAAACUUACGCUAAUACCGCAUACGACCGAGAGGUGAAAGCGGCGGACCGCAAGGCGUCGCGCGACUGGAUGAGCCUAUGUCCGAUUAGCUAGUUGGCGGGGUAAGAGCCCACCAAGGCGACGAUCGGUAGCUGGUCUGAGAGGAUGAUCAGCCACACUGGAACUGAGACACGGUCCAGACUCCUACGGGAGGCAGCAGUGGGGAAUAUUGGACAAUGGGCGCAAGCCUGAUCCAGCAAUGCCGCGUGGGUGAAGAAGGCCUUCGGGUUGUAAAGCCCUUUUGUACGGGAAGAAAUCCUGUCGGUUAAUACCCGGCGGGGAUGACGGUACCGUAAGAAUAAGCACCGGCUAACUUCGUGCCAGCAGCCGCCGUAACAC